UCCGAAGGGGGCUAUCGUUGUUCGGAAUUACUGGGCGUAAAGCGCACGUAGGCGGAUUGUUAAGUCAGGGGUGAAAUCCCGGGGCUCAACCUCGGAACUGCCUUUGAUACUGGCAAUCUCGAGUCCGGAAGAGGUGGGUGGAAUUCCUAGUGUAGAGGUGAAAUUCGUAGAUAUUAGGAAGAACACCAGUGGCGAAGGCGGCCCACUGGUCCGGUACUGACGCUGAGGUGCGAAAGCGUGGGGAGAAAACAGG
rnacentral:rRNA from 1 species